UAGGGAAUAUUAGAAAUGGACGAAAGUCUGAUCUAGCAACACCGCGUGUGCGAAGAAGGCCUUCGGGUCGUAAAGCACUUUUUGGAAGGAAUAGGAAGGAAUGUACUUCCAGAAUAAGUCUCGGCUAGCUACGUGCCAGCAGCCGCGGUAACACGUAGGAGGCAAACGUUAUCCGGAUUUACUGGGCGUAAAGCGCGUGUAGGUGGUACUGUAAGUAGGGCGUGAAAGCUCCUGGCUCAACUGGGAGAGGCCGUUCUAAACUACAGAACUAGAGAAUGGUAGAGGGAGGUGGAAUUCCAGGUGUAGCGGUGGAAUGCGCAGAUAUCUGGAGGAACACCGGUGGCGAAGGCGGCCUCCUGGACCAUUCCUGACACUCAGACGCGAAAGCUAGAGUAGCAAACGG
rnacentral:rRNA from 1 species